rnacentral:rRNA from 1 species
AUGAACGCUGGCGGCGUGCCUAAUACAUGCAAGUCGAGCGAACGGACGAGAAGCUUGCUUCUCUGAUGUUAGCGGCGGACGGGUGAGUAACACGUGGAUAACCUACCUAUAAGACUGGGAUAACUUCGGGAAACCGGAGCUAAUACCGGAUGAUAUUUUGAACCGCAUGGUUCAAAAGUGAAAGACGGUCUUGCUGUCACUUAUAGAUGGAUCCGCGCUGCAUUAGCUAGUUGGUAAGGUAACGGCUUACCAAGGCAACGAUGCAUAGCCGACCUGAGAGGGUGAUCGGCCACACUGGAACUGAGACACGGUCCAGACUCCUACGGGAGGCAGCAGUAGGGAAUCUUCCGCAAUGGGCGAAAGCCUGACGGAGCAACGCCGCGUGAGUGAUGAAGGUCUUCGGAUCGUAAAACUCUGUUAUUAGGGAAGAUCAUAUGUGUAAGUAACUGUGCACAUCUUGACGGUACCUAAUCAGAAAGCCACGGCUAACUACGUG